UACGUAGGGGGCAAGCGUUGUCCGGAUUUAUUGGGCGUAAAGAGCGUGUAGGCGGUCAGGUAGGUCCGUUGUGAAAACUCGAGGCUCAACCUCGAGACGCCGAUGGAAACCAUCUGACUAGAGUCCGGAAGAGGAGAGUGGAAUUCCUGGUGUAGCGGUGAAAUGCGCAGAUAUCAGGAAGAACACCCGUGGCUAAGGCGGCUCUCUAGUACGGUACUG
rnacentral:rRNA from 1 species